GAUGAACGCUGGCGGCGUGCCUAAUACAUGCCAGUCGAGCGAACAGACGAGGAGCUUGCUCCUCUGACGUUAGCGGCGGACGGGUGAGUAACACGUGGAUAACCUACCUAUAAGACUGGGAUAACUUCGGGAAACCGGAGCUAAUACCGGAUAAUAUAUUGAACCUCAUGGUUCAAUAGUUAAAGUCGGUUUUUCUUUCACUUAUAGAUGGAUCCGCGCCGCAUUAGCUAGUUGGGAAGGUAACGGCUUACCAAGGCAACGAUGCGUAGCCGACCUGAGAGGGUGGUCGGCCACACUGGAAGUGAGACACGGUCCAGACACCUACGGGAGGAAGCAGUAGGGAAUCUUCCGCAAUGGGCGAGAGCCUGACGGAGCAACGCCGCGUGAGUGAUGAAGGUCUUCGGAUCGUAAAACUCUGUUAUUAGGGAAGAACAAAUGUGUAAGUAACUAUGCACGUCUUGACGGUACCUAAUCAGAAAGCCACGGCUAACUACGUG
rnacentral:rRNA from 1 species